GGCAAAACGAGAUGAUGGCGCACUUCUGUUUCCAGUUUUUAGAACACUAACGAAAUAUUUGCGGCGCGACCAGAGCGUUUUGGAUUAAAAGGCUUACAGAUUUCAAUUCCUUGGACCUGUGUGGAUUUUUGUGGAUUAUUUGUGUUGGAAUAUAUUACCCCAGUGAAGAAAGAGACGCGUCUAAAGUAGCGUUUCCAGAUCCUGUUCUGCACGUUACCAGAUUCAACUCCUUCUCGAGUGUGUGUUUAUCAGAGCACGGGCGAAGCGUCCUUCACCACGUCUCCAAGCUUUGCAGCUUUACCUCAGACCUGAACUAUCAAUUCAUUCACAAAUCGUUCAUUGUCUUCUGUUCGUUACAACUGCUUUUGCUGUAAGAAAGUAAUCUAAACAUUAUCAUUAAUGUUCUUGAUACUUGGUCACACUAUUCAAUAUUCAAAACAAUUGAUGCUGUAAUGAAAUUUUUGACAAUUGUAUGAAUGUUUAAACUCUGUGGUCUAACAGAACAAAUAAAAUGUUAUACAGAGCAAA